GUUGAACGCUGGCGGCAUGCCUUACACAUGCAAGUCGAACGGGCACGUCGACGGGGGCAACCCUGGUGGCGAGUGGCGAACGGGUGAGUAAUGCAUCGGAACGUGCCCCGUAGCGGGGGAUAACCAGUCGAAAGACUGGCUAAUACCGCAUACGCUCCACGGAGGAAAGCGAGGGGGAUCGCAAGACCUUGCACUAUGGGAGCGGCCGAUGCCCGAUUAGCUAGUUGGUGAGG
rnacentral:rRNA from 1 species